UGGAUUUUACAAAGUUUGCUCUCUCUAUUCCUAUUGUGUUACCAACUGGUCACCGGUAACCAUUUCGUCGUCGAUAAUGGUCACCAAUUGUAAACGGUUCUUUUGUGAUUUUAAGGUGUGAUGAUGAUAGAGUGCUUCUCCCCUGAAUCCUGUUGGAUAUCAGCGAUGAUAGUUGCCCGCUACUAGGCAUGGCAACUCCGGUUGCAGCUGUAGUGGGUAUGAGUCGUCCUUUGUUGUGGAAGGCAAUGACGAAGUGUGCAUCCGAGCCUCUGUUUUUUUUCAACGAUGAUAAUGAUCUGUAGAUCUGUUGUGUUGGUGGUGAGUACAAAACUGUUUGGUAAUGGUUGUGGUUGGUGAUGGUGUUUGUGGUGAGGACGAUGGUGAUGAUGAUAGGAGUGAAAAUAUUUUUUAUGAUUCUUUCGAAUUUCUCUAGAUUUAAUUGUUGAUGUUUUGAGCUUCCGUUUAUGUUUGUGUAAUGUUUUAGGUUUCAUUUUUCAACAUAAACGAAACCGUGUACAUUGUACUUUCAGCUUUACUCUUAUUUGAAUUUAUUUUGCAGUAGUGUUUGUAAAAUGAUAAUAAUCUGGAAAUGGUUUUUUAGGUGAGAGAUUGGGUCGUGGUAUUGUUACUGAUGCAAUAACUACCCAUGUGUUCAAUACAUCUCCUUACUUUUUCAAGGAAACUACUGAGUUUAUUGCUUUCAAGGGGGAUGCAGUUUACUAGUAUUUGAACAAAUUAGAGUGUUUAUUACAUUAGCUCUAUGUUUUUUUCAAAUCUGACUAUUCGAAAGGAAUUUGUUUGUUUGUCGGAGGAUUGAAAAGUUCAAAGAGAUUUACAGUGGUACUGUUCUGUCGAUUAAUGCUGGGGAAAAUCGAUUGGGAUUAGGAGUUGGUGAUAACACCAUGUCUCAUCAGUAGAUGUCUAGCUGCAGCUCUACAGAACACCCCAAAACGCACUAGCUAUCGUAAGAAUAGGUUACAUAUUCAGAUUCAUUCGAUUCGAUUGAUUGAUUGUGUCAUCAGGUAAUAUGUGUGGCUUUGGAUCUUGAACGGAAAAGGAUGUUUUGUUCUUUAAAGAUCUCAAAUCUACCAUUUGAAGGAGCUUAGAGAUCAGAUGUUCUUUUGGAUUUGUUUUGUUAGUUGUACUAAGACCAUGAGCUGAGUUAAACGUAGGACGGACGAAACCAUUAAACCUUGAUCGUAUCAGGCGGAAUGUAACAAACAAUUGGUUUCUACUUUAUGUGAAGCCACACUCCCAAUACUGAGUGUACUUCUAUUGUUCUUAAUUUGUAAGCCCCGGCUGCAACGCGAUGGGGGUUAAACCUAGUUAUUUAAGAAAUGGUAUUUACAAAUGAUUUAAUCAUUUGUUUU
rnacentral:lncRNA from 1 species